UACGUAGGGGUGCAAGCGUUAAUCGGAAUUACUGGGCGUAAAGCGUACGCAGGCGGCUUUGCAAGACAGGUGUGAAAUCCCCGGGCCUAACCUGGGAACUGCAUUUGUGACUGCAUGGCUGAGAGUUUGUCAGAGGGGGGUGGAAUUCCACGUGUAGCAGUGAAAUGCGUAGAUAUCUGGAGGAACACCGGUGGCGAAGGCGGCAUCCUGGACCAACACUGACACU
rnacentral:rRNA from 1 species